rnacentral:sRNA from 1 species
GCGAUGAGCUAUUUGUGUAAGUCGAGGACUUAGCUAUUAGGCUAAACAUACGAAUGUGGUCGUAUGGGUACCUCGCCGCAAACAUGUUUUAAAAGACGCCUACGGAAUUAGGCGUCUU